AAAGCAGUGCUUUUAUUUUGUAAGUCUACAAAGCCGACCGAAAUAGAAAACAGGCGGAAAAAAUGUCAACAGUAGUUUCUCUAAUUUUUGUGCUAUUUUCACAUUUCCUGACCGGUGUGAGAAACAUAUUUCUCCUCACUAGUGAAAAGUCUGUUCUCGGCAAAUGAUUAGUCGAAAUUUGAUUAUGACGUCAAAAUGUUUUUUUUUCUUCUGAAUAUUCCUAUUGUGACGUCAUGAAAAAAGGCGACCUUGCCUGAUGACGUCGCAUAUAAAGAACACAAGUUUCUGAAAAUCUUUGAAAAAGAAUGAUAAAAAUCAUCAGAGAAACAGAUUCCGACACUAUAACUCGUGUAUUACGAUAUUUCUCCAUUCUCGACAGUUAAA
rnacentral:lncRNA from 1 species